rnacentral:rRNA from 1 species
UUGACCUCAAAUCAGGUAGGACUACCCGCUGAACUUAAGCAUAUCAAUAAGCGGAGGAAAAGAAACUAACAAGGAUUCCCCUAGUAACUGCGAGUGAAGAGGGAAAAGCUCAAAUUUAAAAUCUGGCAGUUUCACUGUCCGAGUUGUAAUUUAGAGAAGUGUCGCCCGUGCUGGACUGUGUACAAGUCUCCUGGAAUGGAGCGUCGUAGAGGGUGAGAAUCCCGUCUUUGACACAGACUACCAGUACAUUGUGGUGUGCUCUCAAAGAGUCGUGUUGUUUGGGAAUGCAGCACUAAAUGGGUGGUAAAUUCCAUCUAAAGCUAAAUAUUGGCGAGAGACCGAUAGCGAACAAGUACCGUGAGGGAAAGAUGAAAAGAACUUUGGAAAGAGAGUUAAACAGUACGUGAAAUUGUUGAAAGGGAAACGCUUAAAGUCCAGUCGCGUUGGCUGGGAAUCAGUCUUGCUUUUGCUUGACGUACUUUCCAGUUGAUGGGUCAGCAUCAGUUUUGACCAUUGGAGAAAGGCUGGGAGAAUGUGGCACCUUCGGGUGUGUUAUAGCUCCUAGUUGUAUACAAUGGUUGGGACUGAGGAACUCAGCACGCCGCAAGGCCGGGUCUUGUACCACGUUCGUGCUUAGGAUGCUGGCAUAAUGGCUUUAAUCGACCCGUCUU